GACGAACGCUGGCGGCGUGCUUAACACAUGCAAGUCGAACGGAAAGGCCCUGCUUUUGUGGGGUGCUCGAGUGGCGAACGGGUGAGUAACACGUGAGUAACCUGCCCUUGACUUUGGGAUAACUUCAGGAAACUGGGGCUAAUACCGGAUAGGAGCUCCUGCUGCAUGGUGGGGGUUGGAAAGUUUCGGCGGUUGGGGAUGGACUAGCGGCUUAUCAGCUUGUUGGUGGGGUAGUGGCUUACCAAGGCUUUGACGGGUAGCCGGCCUGAGAGGGUGACCGGCCACAUUGGGACUGAGAUACGGCCCAGACUCCUACGGGAGGCAGCAGUGGGGAAUAUUGCACAAUGGGCGGAAGCCUGAUGCAGCAACGCCGCGUACGGGAUGACGGCCUUCGGGUUGUAAACCGCUUUCGCCUGUGACGAAGCGUGAGUGACGGUAAUGGGUAAAGAAGCACCGGCUAACUACGUG
rnacentral:rRNA from 1 species